rnacentral:SRP_RNA from 1 species
GCUGGGCAUGGUGGUGCAUGCCUGUGGUCCCAGCUACUUGGGAGGCUGAUGUGGGAAGAUUGCUUGAGCCUGGGAGGUCAAGGCUGCAGUGAGCUAUAACUGUGCUACUGCACCCCAGCCUGGGCAACAGAGCAAGGCCCUGUCUCAA